GACGAACACUGGCGGCGUGCUUAACACAUGCAAGUCGAGCGAUGAAGUUCCUUCGGGAAUGGAUUAGCGGCGGACGGGUGAGUAACACGUGGGUAACCUGCCUCAUAGAGGGGAAUAGCCUUCCGAAAGGAAGAUUAAUACCGCAUAAGAUUGUAGUACCGCAUGGCAUAGCAAUUAAAGGAGUAAUCCGCUAUGAGAUGGACCCGCGUCGCAUUAGCUAGUUGGUGAGGUAACGGCUCACCAAGGCGACGAUGCGUAGCCGACCUGAGAGGGUGAUCGGCCACAUUGGGACUGAGACACGGCCCAGACUCCUACGGGAGGCAGCAGUGGGGAAUAUUGCACAAUGGGGGAAACCCUGAUGCAGCAACGCCGCGUGAGUGAUGAAGGUCUUCGGAUUGUAAAACUCUGUCUUCAGGGACGAUAAUGACGGUACCUGAGGAGGAAGCCACGGCUAACUACGUGCCAGCCGCCGCAGUAACAC
rnacentral:rRNA from 1 species